GGUUGUGGCUCAGUGGUAGAGCCUCGCCUAGCACGUAUGAAGCACUGGGUUCGAUCCUCAGCACCA
rnacentral:tRNA from 1 species